UCAAGCGAACAAGUGCAUGUGGUGGAUGCCUUGGCGAUCACAGGCGAUGAAGGACGCGGUAGCCUGCGAAAAGCUUCGGGGAGCUGGCAAACAAGCUUUGAUCCGGAGAUGUCCGAAUGGGGAAACCCGGCCCGUAUGGGUCAUCCCACACUGAAUCCAUAGGUGUGGGAAGCGAACGCGGCGAACUGAAACAUCUAAGUAGCUGCAGGAACAGAAAUCAACCGAGAUUCCCAAAGUAGUGGCGAACGAAAUGGGAAGAGCCUUGCACUCUUUAGCAGGACUGUUAGCAAAACGGGAUGGAAAGCCCGGCCAUAGCAGGUGAUAGCCCUGUAUGCGAAAACAGACUUGUGGAACUAGGUGUGCGACAAGUAGGGCGGGACACGUGAAAUCCUGUCUGAAGAUGGGGGGACCAUCCUCCAAGGCUAAAUACUCGUGAUCGACCGAUAGUGAACCAGUACCGUGAGGGAAAGGCGAAAAGAACCCCGGGAGGGGAGUGAAAUAGAUCCUGAAACCGCAUGCAUACAAACAGUCGGAGCCUCGUAAGGGGUGACGGCGUACCUUUUGUAUAAUGGGUCAGCGACUUACAUUCAGUGGCAAGCUUAACCGAUUAGGGAAGGCGUAGCGAAAGCGAGUCCGAACAGGGCGUUGAGUCGCUGGGUGUAGACCCGAAACCAGAUGAUCUAUCCAUGGCCAGGUUGAAGGUGCGGUAACACGUACUGGAGGACCGAACCCACUAACGUUGAAAAGUUAGGGGAUGAGCUGUGGAUAGGGGUGAAAGGCUAAACAAAUCUGGAAAUAGCUGGUUCUCUCCGAAAACUAUUUAGGUAGUGCCUCGUGUCUCACCUUCGGGGGUAGAGCACUGUCAUGGUUGGGGGGUCUAUUGCUGAUUACCCCGCCAUAGCAAACUCCGAAUACCGAAGAGUGCAAUCACGGGAGACAGACAUCGGGUGCUAACGUCCGGUGUCAAGAGGGAAACAACCCAGACCGCCAGCUAAGGUCCCAAAGAUUGGCUAAGUGGGAAACGAAGUGGGAAGGCUAAAACAGUCAGGAGGUUGGCUUAGAAGCAGCCACCCUUUAAAGAAAGCGUAAUAGCUCACUGAUCGAGUCGUCCUGCGCGGAAGAUGUAACGGGGCUAAGCCAGUCACCGAAGCUGCGGACGCACGCAAGUGCGUGGUAGGAGAGCGUUCUGUAAGCCUGUGAAGGUGUCUUGUAAAGGAUGCUGGAGGUAUCAGAAGUGCGAAUGCUGACAUGAGUAGCGAUAAAGGGGGUGAAAGGCCCCCUCGCCGUAAGCCCAAGGUUUCCUACGCAACGUUCAUCGGCGUAGGGUGAGUCGGCCCCUAAGGCGAGGCAGAGAUGCGUAGCUGAUGGGAAGCAGGUUAAUAUUCCUGCACCGUCGUAUGAUGCGAUGGGGGGACGGAUCGCGGAAGGUUGUCCGGGUGUUGGAAGUCCCGGUCCCUGCAUUGGAGAAGGCGCUCAGGCAAAUCCGGGCGCGGGAUUCAAGAGUGUGGGGCGAGCGGCCUAGUGCUGCGAAGCAAUUGGAAGUGGUUCCAAGAAAAGCCUCUAAGCUUCAGUCAUACGAGACCGUACCGCAAACCGACACAGGUGGGCGAGAUGAGUAUUCUAAGGCGCUUGAGAGAACUCGGGAGAAGGAACUCGGCAAAUUGGUACCGUAACUUCGGGAUAAGGUACGCCCUGGUAGCUUGACUGGCCUGCGCCAGAAGGGUGAAGGGGUUGCAAUAAAAUGGUGGCUGCGACUGUUUAAUAAAAACACAGCACUCUGCAAACACGAAAGUGGACGUAUAGGGUGUGACGCCUGCCCGGUGCCGGAAGAUUAAAUGAUGGGGUGCAAGCUCUUGAUUGAAGUCCCGGUAAACGGCGGCCGUAACUAUAACGGUCCUAAGGUAGCGAAAUUCCUUGUCGGGUAAGUUCCGACCUGCACGAAUGGCGUAACGAUGGCCACACUGUCUCCUCCCGAGACUCAGCGAAGUUGAAGUGUUUGUGAUGAUGCAAUCUCCCCGCGGCUAGACGGAAAGACCCCAUGAACCUUUACUGUAGCUUUGCAUUGGACUUUGAACCGAUCUGUGUAGGAUAGGUGGGAGGCUUUGAAGCGUGGACGCUAGUCUACGUGGAGCCGUCCUUGAAAUACCACCCUGGUUUGUUUGAGGUUCUAACCUUGGCCCGUGAAUCCGGGUCGGGGACAGUGCAUGGUAGGCAGUUUGACUGGGGCGGUCUCCUCCCAAAGUGUAACGGAGGAGUUCGAAGGUACGCUUGGUACGGUCGGACAUCGUACCUAAAGUGCAAUGGCAAAAGCGUGCUUAACUGCGAGACCGACAAGUCGAGCAGGUGCGAAAGCAGGACAUAGUGAUCCGGUGGUUCUGAAUGGAAGGGCCAUCGCUCAACGGAUAAAAGGUACUCUGGGAUAACAGGCUGAUACCGCCCAAGAGUUCAUAUCGACGGCGGUGUUUGGCACCUCGAUGUCGGCUCAUCUCAUCCUGGGGCUGUAGCCGGUCCCAAGGGUAUGGCUGUUCGCCAUUUAAAGAGGUACGUGAGCUGGGUUUAAAACGUCGUGAGACAGUUUGGUCCCUAUCUGCCGUGGGCGUUGGAAUCUUGACGGGGGCUGCUCCUAGUACGAGAGGACCGGAGUGGACGUACCGCUGGUGUACCUGUUGUCUCGCCAGAGGCAUCGCAGGGUAGCUAUGUACGGAAGAGAUAACCGCUGAAAGCAUCUAAGCGGGAAACUCGCCUGAAGAUGAGGAUUCCCUGGCGGCUUGACCGCCUUGAAGGGUCGUUCGAGACCAGGACGUUGAUAGGCUGGGUGUGGAAGCGCAGUAAUGCGUUAAGCUAACCAGUACUAAUUGCCCGUAAGGCUUGAUCCU
rnacentral:rRNA from 1 species